UUUGACCCAGAAUCGGAUCCGGAUUACGAAUCACCUGAAGAAGUUGGUUCUCAGCGGCUACAGCAGGACGUCUCUGAAUGGUGCCGUUGUGGAAAAUGUGCGACCAUGCCCACAGAAGAGGAGAAUAUUUGCUGCAUGGAGAUACCGCAGGUUACUAGAAGACUACGGGAGGUCGAACUACAUCCAACGUGUAUGGUUGACCAUCCUGGAUUGGAGCCGGUCUGCCUAAAUGUUUACUCUAUUCAGAAUGCCAGCCAAAUAUAUAGAGCCGACUAUGGUCCUCUAAAUUUGAGAAGAAUACACAAUCGCUACAGGUAUCUCUCCUAUCGUUCCUUUGUGAGCUGGUGCUGGGGCCACCUGGGACGCAGUACCCGGGUU